rnacentral:tRNA from 1 species
GGCCGGAUGGUCUAGGGGUAUGAUUCUCGCUUUGGGUGCGAGAGGUCCAGGGUUCAAAUCCCGGUUCGGCCC